rnacentral:rRNA from 1 species
UACGUAGGGGGCGAGCGUUAUCCGGAUUCACUGGGUGUAAAGGGAGCGUAGACGGCCAUGCAAGCCAGGGGUGAAAGCCCGGGGCCCAACCCCGGGACUGCCCUUGAACUGCAUGGCUGGAGUGCGGGAGGGGCAGGCGGAAUUCCUGGUGUAGCGGUGAAAUGCGUAGAUAUCAGGAGGAACACCGGCGGCGAAGGCGGCCUGCUGGACUGCGACUGACGUUGAGGCUCGAAAGCGUGGGGAGCGAACAGG